GGAAAGCUGAACCCCAUGGGAGGUAACAACUAAUGCUCAAGUUCUGUCUGAAAGUUAAUUGUACAUGAAUUCAAUAACCAUUUCUCAUUAGGAGGCUUUUUUUUAUGAAUGAUACUUCUUUGAACUGAGUAAGUAAACCCUGUGUAGCUGCUGACACCAAUGCAGUCCUAACCAGGAAGAGUGCCCAAGCACAGCAGCACCAUACUACCAGGAAAGAAAAAUCCAUGUCUAUUGUGGAAGACCUGGAAAAGAGAGCCAGAAUUUGAGGAUUGGAAGGAAGACAUGGCUCAGGGAAACUGUUGAAGCUGUGUGGUCUAUCUUUAGCAGCAGCAGAAUGGUUUUAAAAUGACUUAAUCUGCUUGAGGCAUUCUAAGAAACUCCAGAUUUGUGUGUGAUUCUACUAAUAUACACUAAUCAUGAUUCUGUGACUAAAAACGUUCAUGAGAAGAUCACAGGUGACUUAAGGGGAUAUAUUGCAUCAUGGAUCUUCCUUGAACCAAUCUAGACAGAAAGAUAUCCUUUACUGUUACUGAUGGGAUGGAAUGAGGCCAAGGCUGAUGGAGAGAACACUGACCAGAAUGCUGAGUUUUUUCAUGCAUUUUCAGCGGAAAGAAUAUAAAGCAUCAAAGACUGAGGCCAGAGCCUUCCUUCAGGGUCUUGCUCAACCACUUCUGUGCAACUGGAAUUUUGUUUUUCAGUUUCCUUUUUGGUUCAUACACACAGGCCAUUCUUCUCACUUAGAAGUUAAAAUCUAUCUGUUUGGAAAAUACUUUAGUGGCAGAAGCAGACUCCAGGCAGCAGAGCACAGGGUUCAGGCCUCAUCAGUGUGGUAGUGUCUGAACUUUCAACUCUUUCAUUGCCAAUGGCUAUUUUAUAUGAGUAAAUUGUAUGCAGCAGGACCACAAAAGUAAGUGGUGUGGUAUACUUCACUGCAUUAUGAUGGAAGCCUCAAUUUGGUUUCAUUCAUUUAGUUUAACUGGAACAAAUUCUGGCUUAGUUAUUUCUUGAAUCAUCUGGACAUAUUAGUUGGUAUGGGCCAAAUCAAUGCUGAAAGCAGGUUGAUGACUGAACAGAAUAGAUGAAAAAGUGCUAGUAUUAGACCAUAUGCCUUGGUCCUCCUAAAUUUAUUGGAAUAGACAUAACCAAUAAAUACCAUGAUAACAGGAUUAUGGGAUACUCUGUCUUCCACAUUCUUCCAUUUGUAGCUGAGCCAUGUUUGCAGAAAGUAAUAAUUGAUUCAGAAGCCCAGACACAGUGCAAGUGAAAGGUAAGUGACUUCCUCAGCAGUGUAAAGCAUUCCACAAAUAAAAAGAAAAUCAAACGUGAGAUUCUCAUUUGCUGGGCAAGUGCUCUAUAUGCAACAUAGAACAAGAAUACAUCAUUUCCAUUUCCUUCCUUCUCAUUAUUUCAAAGAGAGUAAGAACUUCUUAUUUCUUUGAAAGUAUGUUUUACUCUGUGGAUUCAAAAUGGAUGCAGUCACCUCCAUCUUGGUUUUGAAGAUGCCCAAAACUCUACAGACUUAUUAUAGCCUUACAGUCCAAGUCACAUACAUUUUAAUAGGCUCUUCAUAAUCAUUUGUACUGCAGAGUUUGUACUGCAUUCACCAGAACUGAUGAGAGGUAAUCACUGAGAUAAGGCACUUUCUGAUAUUCCAAUUAUAAUUUCAAUGAUAAUAAGAAGCAAAGAAUUCUUGAAAGAUAUUAUUUAUAAAAAUUUCUUCCCAUCCUUCUAUAAUGAAAUAGCUUUUAAAAAAAUCUUUAUAGGCAUUUGCUAACUCUAGAGGUGUGACAACUUUCUGAGAUAAACAAACAGGUUUGUUUUAGGCAAUGAACACCACAAAGACAUAAUAACACAUACACAGCGUGCAGUAAAGCAGAAUGCAACCAUUUAAACUCCACCUAAAAUCAACAUAACACGUGACUCCAAAUUAUUUAAUCUACACAGAUGUUGUAAAUCAUAUUCAUUAUUUAAUUAUAAUAGGAAAAAUUACUGUCACACAGUUUUGCAAAGUGUAGGCAGCUCUCUUUUACUACUUUGUUAAAUAUAUUGCCCACUAGGUGGGGGUAGCUAACCUUAUUCAAAGGAUGAUACUCUGAGAAGAAAAUUUAGUCAAAAAAUGGAAUAAAAACCACAUUAAAACUUAAGGGCUUUUUUUUCUUAUUACUUUUUCCUCUUUACUGUCAUAAAAUGAGAUUAAUUACUGUUUGUUAACUAUUGAGCUUUGUAAGUGAUAAUAAAUGGAGGUCACUGGCAAUUAUGUUUAAUUUGAGCUGAUGGGGAACUACAGCAUUGAACUUUCAGUAUUACAAGUCAGGAUAUUCCUGUACCACUACAAAACAACUAUUUUCCUGGAAAAUAAAGAAUGAAGACAAAGCUUUCAUCCUUUGGCAACAAAUCAUUA
ensembl:lncRNA